UUGACCUCGGAUCAGGUAGGGAUACCCGCUGAACUUAAGCAUAUCAAUAAGCGGAGGAAAAGAAACCAACAGGGAUUGCCUCAGUAACGGCGAGUGAAGCGGCAACAGCUCAAAUUUGAAAUCUGGCCCUUGCUGGGUCCGAGUUGUAAUUUGUAGAGGAUGCUUCGGGUUCGGCUCCGGUCUAAGUUCCUUGGAACAGGACGUCACAGAGGGUGAGAAUCCCGUACGUGACCGGCCGCCACGCCCGUGUGAAGCUCCUUCGACGAGUCGAGUUGUUUGGGAAUGCAGCUCAAAAUGGGUGGUAAAUUUCAUCUAAAGCUAAAUACCGGCCAGAGACCGAUAGCGCACAAGUAGAGUGAUCGAAAGAUGAAAAGCACUUUGGAAAGAGAGUUAAAAAGUACGUGAAAUUGUUGAAAGGGAAGCGCUUGCAAUCAGACUUGCCCGCGGGUGAUCAGCCGGUAUUUUUACUGGUGCACUCGCCCGUGGUCAGGCCAGCAUCGGUUUGGGCGGCUGGACAAAGACCCCUGGAAUGUAGCUCCUCUCGGGGAGUGUUAUAGCCGGAGGUGCAAUGCAGCCAGCCCGGACCGAGGACCGCGC
rnacentral:rRNA from 1 species